rnacentral:rRNA from 1 species
UACGGAGGGUGCAAACGUUGCUCGGAAUCAUUGGGCGUAAAGCGCACGUAGGCGGCCUGAUAAGUCGGGUGUGAAAGCCCUGGGCUCAACCCAGGAAGUGCACUCGAAACUGUCAGGCUUGAAUAUGGAAGAGGGUCGCGGAAUUCCCGGUGUAGAGGUGAAAUUCGUAGAUAUCGGGAGGAACACCAGUGGCGAAGGCGGCGACCUGGACCAGCACUGACACUGAGGCACGAAAGCGUGGGGAGCAAACAGG